CGCACGGUGUAAUAGUACCUAUGAAGGUAAAAAUUGCUACAAUUCAAUAUGUUUCACAUAAGUAUGGUUUAAACGUUUAAAGGACCAUCAAGGAUCAAAGUUGUUUUGUAAAGUGUAUUGUGUAUGGAAUGGUUGCAAGUUCAGAAUAUUCCUCAACAUGGCGGCAUUGCAUGCGAACGCAUAAUACAAACAAAGUAAUGCUUACGGAUAACGUGUGUGGGUGUGCUUAGAUCGAAAAAUUACAACGAUUUUGUCGAGCCCCGUGGACUAGAUGCAAA